rnacentral:lncRNA from 1 species
UAAGGCAACAAUCAUUUUACAUCUCCAGCCCCCAUAACCACUACCCGAGAAGGGAGUGGGAAAGAGAGAUACCCCAGGAACAUCAGAAGAAUAUACAAAAAGGGGACUGGAAAAGUCUACAGAAAGGGAGGCACCAGUAUUUGUGUUAGAAGCCAUAGUCAAUGAACCGGCGUAAAAGAACAACUUUUCAACAAACAGAGUAUACCAAAACAGGUAUUCACACACAAUAACCAACAAACAGAGUAUAACCAAAUCAGGUAUUCACANNN